rnacentral:rRNA from 1 species
GAUGAACGCUGGCGGCGUGCCUAAUACAUGCGAGUCGAGCGAACAGACGAGGAGCUUGCUCCUCUGACGUUAGCGGCGGACGGGUGAGUAACACGUGGAUAACCUACCUAUAAGACUGGGAUAACUUCGGGAAACCGGAGCUAAUACCGGAUAAUAUAUUGAACCGCAUGGUUCAAUAGUGAAAGACGGUUUUGCUGUCACUUAUAGAUGGAUCCGCGCCGCAUUAGCUAGUUGGUAAGGUAAUGGCUUACCAAGGCAACGAUGCGUAGCCGACCUGAGAGGGUGAUCGGCCACACUGGAACUGAGACACGGUCCAGACUCCUACGGGAGGCAGCAGUAGGGAAUCUUCCGCAAUGGGCGAAAGCCUGACGGAGCAACGCCGCGUGAGUGAUGAAGGUCUUCGGAUCGUAAAACUCUGUUAUUAGGGAAGAACAAAUGUGUAAGUAACUAUGCACGUCUUGACGGUACCUAAUCAGAAAGCCACGGCUAACUACGUG